CAUAUUAUCUUAUUUCUAAGUCUUGAGAUGUGUAUAUUAAUAUGGUUGUCAUAUGAUGCACGAUGUAGGUUGGAUUCAUAUUGAAAGUACUCAUAUUCGACCCAUAGGCAAGUGUGCCAAACCACUGCCUUGCUUCUCUCUCUGAGUCAUGUGAAACAAAAGGAACUGUAGCUAUUAUGCAUAGACGUGGACUAGCCCAACAUCACCAGCGUCAGCAGUCUUCUCACAUCACAGCGGUCAACUGGUCCAAAGCUGGACCAUAGGUGUCUCUAUUGAGGUUAUCUCCAUUGCAAGCCACACAAUGGCAUGAUGGGUUAACCUAAGGUCCUUCUUCUUCCCCGAAUCCCUUCCGUUAGAAGACACUUGUGGCUCCCUGACAAACUGGUCGCUUGGUGCUGAGCUGCGACAACUUUAGUUGACUUGAAUACUGAUCCACCGUUAGUCAACCUAUUGGUGGAUACAGAUCCCAGGUCGGCAGUAUGGUGCUACAUGUUUCCCGGAGGAAAUGACAUGUUUGUGGUCAUCUCCUACCUGUAGAGAAGGAAUUAAGUGCGUCAGAAGGUUCAGCUGGUAGCAUUGAAUUGGGUAUUCUAGAAAGAGAAAUGAUAUGACCAUAGCAAAACUCGGUGUCUUAUGAAUCAGAUAAAAGAAGAUAUGCUCAGAGAGUAGUGAGAUGCACGCUGUGAAGCAUCAGAUUUGGACCCUCGUCGACCGUACACUCUGAUGUUUAACCCCCAGCAGUGGCCACAUUUACUUCGUGUCACGCUUGCCACCAGUGUCAUCGAAGUCAACACCAAUAUCUUUCUUCUCUCACGGCGUCAAAGCACACCUAUGGUGUUCAGACUCCUUUCCCUGUGGCCUAUCCAUUUCCCCGUUGUUAUAUAGGCUAUUCGCUGCUUCUCCCUUCUCACCCCGCCACGCCGCAGUGUGUGCGUGAGAGAGAGAGAGAGAGAGAGAGAGAGAGAGAGAGCGAGAGACAGAGAGACUUUGAGAUACAGAGAGAGAAAGGGGGUAUGGUUUUUGCCGGUGGUACCUGCGGAGGCGCGGGCGACGGCGAUGGCCUCAAGCUGGAUCCAUGUAGGUUCGCCGUCCGAGUGGUGCGCGGCCGGUGGUUUAUGCUCUUCUCUUCGUUCCUUAUCAUGGCCGCCGCCGGUGCCACCUACAUCUUCAGCAUCUACUCCAAGGACAUCAAGUCGUCGCUGGGCUACGACCAGUCGACGCUGAACACGCUGUCCUUCUUCAAGGACCUCGGCGCCAACGUCGGCGUCCU
rnacentral:lncRNA from 1 species